CAAUAGCGUAUAUUAAAGUUGUUGCGGUUAAAAAGCUCGUAGUUGGAUUUCUGCUGAGGACGACCGGUCCGCCCUCCGGGUGAGCAUCUGGUUCGGCCUUGGCAUCUUCUUGGUGAACGUAUCUGCACUUGACUGUGUGGUGCGGUACCCAGGACUUUUACUUUGAGGAAAUUAGAGUGUUUCAAGCAGGCAUACGCCUUGAAUACAUUAGCAUGGAAUAAUAAGAUAGGACCUCGGUGCUAUUUUGUGGUUUGCGCACAGAGGUAAUGAUGAACAGGGACAGUUGGGGGUAUUUGUAUUUCGUUGUCAGAGGUGAAAUUCUUGGAUUCGCUGAAGACUAACUUAUGCGAAAGCAUUCACCAAGGAUGUCUUCUUUAAUCAAGAACGAAAGU
rnacentral:rRNA from 1 species